UAUUACCGUGAAUACGUUCCCGGGUCUUGUACACACCGCCCGUCAAACCAUGAAAGUCGCCAAUACCCGAAAUCCAACGAUUCGUUGGCCUAAGGUAGGGGAGAUGAUUGGGGUU
rnacentral:rRNA from 1 species